UCCCUGGUGGCUCAGAUGGUAAAGCGUCUGCCUACAAUGCUGGAGACCCAGGUUUGAUCCCUGGGCUGAGAA
rfam:Ovis aries breed Texel chromosome 9, whole genome shotgun sequence.